rnacentral:rRNA from 1 species
UACGAAGGGGGGCUAGCGUUGCUCGGAAUCACUGGGCGUAAAGCGCACGUAGGCGGGUCUUUAAGUCAGGGGUGAAAUCCCGGAGCUCAACUCCGGAACUGCCUUUGAUACUGGAGAUCUUGAGUCCGGGAGAGGUGAGUGGAACUCCGAGUGUAGAGGUGAAAUUCGUAGAUAUUCGGAAGAACACCAGUGGCGAAGGCGGCUCACUGGCCCGGUACUGACGCUGAGGUGCGAAAGCGUGGGGAGCAAACAGG